GGAAGUCAACUUAGGAGCACCGUGAUUGGAUGUAAGGGUACAAUAUAUUUUUUGUAUUUAUCUAUGAAUAACUGCAGCGUUGAUAUAUACAAUAUAAAUUUUAAAACCUAUUGAAAUAUUUUCUAGAGAAUCAUUUGAAAAGGCUUUCAAAAUUUUAUAAAUUUGCUGCAAAAUGACAGUGGGCAUGGAUAACAUAAACAAGCUCCGUUGGAAAUUGGUCAUGAUACUAUUUGGCUUCAAUUUUUAAAAUAGAGUAAUAAAGUACUAACACCACACAUAACUGUUUUAUCCAGGUUUUUAUUAUAAAAAGUGGUAAAAUUAGAAAAUGUUAGUAUUGUCGCCUAUGGCAGAAUAAAUAGUACCGUUUUCCCUAUAAUAGAGGUA
rnacentral:lncRNA from 1 species